UGAGCCAAAAAUUGAAGUCAACCCCUGAAGGGAAACCUGCUUGUCAAUCUUGCAUUAAACCCCGACAUGAACAGGGAAGGACUGAGGUUCCCGUCACUGACAACCAACUACUAGUGCAGUAAGGCUACUGCUGCAAGCUCCCACCCAGGCAAAGAGAAUCUGAAUGGGGAAUUCCUCCUCUCAGCCACAGUCCUCUGGGACGCCAUUUAGCCUGGGGCCUGCAGAGCUUCCCAGCGGCAGAAAAUUCCUGCUGAAAUGGGAAGAUCUCAGUGCCAAAGAAUACUGUUAUUGAAAUCUGAGGACAGAGCUCUGGAGCAACUAUCCUUCACAAUUCUUUACCCACACCCAGAAGCUAAUGAUUUCCAGAGAGGACCACAGCAAAGAAUUCACAGGAACAUGGGUCACUAUGUCAAGGAUCAUGUCAAGAAGAGAAGGAUUUGUGUAGAGGAGCUGCGGUGCUAAUGGUGGACUUCCCCCGGAGCUCUGACGCACACCAUGGCAUGGAAGGCAAAUAGGCAGAAGAGAGAAGUUGUCAACCGGGGAAAUUGAAAACAUCCAGGCAAAAAGAAUGAGGGGGAAAGACCUCAUUAUUAUUGGUAUUAUCUUCACAUUACCCGUUUUCACUCAUUCAUUCAACAAGCUAUGAUGUGACUCGCUGCCCACCUCCCCCCACCUAUCAGUUCAAAUGCUGGCUAAGCAAAAUGCCAGGAUGAAGACAUCUUAUCCAUUCACAGGCAUACCAUAGCUUAUUAGUCAAUUCCUAGACUAUCACUUGGCUGAAAGCUUUCUUAUGGGAAUGGUCAUUUGUAGAAUGAAA